AUUGUCUUGUGCGCAGUGUCAUCAUUCUGAUCUCUUGUUGGAGGGAAGACGAGUGCUGCUCUCGGGGCUCAUCUGCUUUGGCGUCAAACAGAGCUAUCUUUGAUUGUGCAGGAGAUCAGGCCCCCCACUUAGUGUAUUUGACAAGCUGAGUUGGACACUCUGUAUCAGGGAGUGUCAGUUUGUCAAAUACCCCAAGUGAGGUGUCACUAGUCUACAAAUGAAGUUCACUGCACGGACUGACCAGACAGCUCUGAAGCCUCCAAGGUAACAAAGUCACACUUCAUGUGAAGCUUUGGAGCAGACUGAGGAGGAUUUACAAUGUGCAGGUUACUGGUGAGGAAUGCCUAGUCAUCUUUAUCAUCUUUACAACUGCCAGCCUUAGUGAUAUUUUAUGCAAAGUUCUGGUGUACACUUAACUGAAAGCAUUAGCUUCAGGCUUCAUAGAGACAUUGGAGUCAAAUUGAGGAACUGUAUCGGGUUUAUCAACAGAAUUAAAGCCUUCUUCAAAACUAUUUCUGUUUUUCAGUCUCUUUGUUUCCCAGAGCAACAACUCGAAUGCCGUGUCUGAUACACUGGCAGCUUUGCAAGUGAAGAAAAUGCACCUUUGAUUGAUCUCACCAUAUGUUUUCAUGCAUAAUAGUAAAUCUAGCUUCUGGAAAAAUGUGAAUCUGCGAUCACUUUCUGCUUCAAUAAAAACGGACAAUAAAGCACGUCUCCGCCAGCACGUGGGGCCGCAUGUGUUUUUAGUCCCACUGGUUAAAAUCAGACUUGGUCGAUGUGAGGAGGGGAAGAGAAUAAAAUAAAUGUGACUUUGUCUGGGAGUAUCUUUAAACACAUGACCAUCUCAUCUGGUGCAACUAUAGUGUAUGAUUAAGGCAUGUGAAGUGUGAUUUUUUAUAUAUAUGUAUAUAUAUAUUUGUUUAUUUUCAGAUCUUUUAAAGCGUUAUUUCUGUAAUCGGAAGCUUGUGGAACUCCUUAUCUUCCAACUUCUCAAAGACAGCACUUAUCACACCGUCUUGCAUUUCCUGUUCCUGUGGAAGCGCGCUGCGUUGACUAUGGGCGUAAAAACAGAUGUGUGUGUGUGUGUGUGUGUGUGUGUGUGUGUGUGUGUGUGCGUGUGUGUGCGUGCGUGUGUGUGCGUGCUUGUUUGAUAUUUAAAUUGUAAUUGCUUGUCACAGAGUUGCUAAGUUUCUAAUCUUUGCAUCAAAAGGUUGCCAUAAAAAGACGUGUCAUAAACAUUUUUAAAAGUGCUAAACUACCACACAAGUGUCUACUAUUGCUACUACUACCACUACGAUCUCAAUAAUAAUGUCUACUACUUGCCACGAUGCAUGAGGAAGAUGGCAACAUACGCACUUUGCCUCGGCUGCAGAAAUAAAAACUAUUCUCACUAC